AAGGGAGGCGGGGCUCUUAGAGAUGGGUUCACUCGGCAGUGUCGGCACUGCUUAGGGAACAAAUCUCAGCCUAGUGAUGAUUGAACGUAUCUAGUUAAGGUAAAGUUUUCGUGUAAUUAACAUUCUAGUUGUUGACUUUACCUAUGAGUUCUAGCUCAGGCCAACCAGUUAAGCAUUAUAAAUAUAUGGCACAUAUAGUAACCCUUAUCUUAUCUCUCGUUAUCAACAUUAUCACUUUCAAAUGCCAAAGUUUAUCUCAUCACACGGGCCUCCCAAUACAUGGACUUGUUCUUCUAGUUGGAGUUCUCCUUCCUGAUGGCUGCCUGCAAGUUAAUGAGGUUGUUUGUGAUUGUGGUGGUUUUUGUCAUAGUAUAUAUGGUGUACAUCAUUGUGAAGCGUGAUGGCGCCAUGCUCCCGCAAUAUUACUAUCCCAUCAACGAUGAGGUCGAGAGGUGUAAUUGCAAGAUGGAGAACUUACCGAGAGUAAUCAAAUAGCGCUGGAGUUAGACUUGGUGGUGUCUUGGUUCAACGAGACCACGAAGGAACAAUUAACCAAACACCACCCGAACCUGCCUGUAAAUUUCCUGUACAACACAAACAAACGUCGAAGUUGUAACUUACUACCAACACUCUUCCACAUCGAGUGGAGGAACAAACACUGGCAGGAAACAAAAAUUUUCAACACCACCAUUCACUUGUACUCCGCCUUCUCGGAC